rnacentral:rRNA from 1 species
AUUGAACGCUGGCGGCAUGGCUAAAACAUGCAAGUCGAGCGCGAAAGUGUAGCAAUACACGAGUAGAGCGGCGAAAGGGUGAGUAAUACGUUCCUACGUACCUCGAGGUCAGGGAUAGCCAGGGGAAACUCUGGGUAAUACCUGAUGUGAUCGAGAGAUCAAAGGCUUGCCGCCUUGAGAGCGGGGAACGUCCUAUCAGCUAGUUGGUGAGGUAACGGCUCACCAAGGCUUUGACGGGUAGCGGGUGUGAGAGCAUGGCCCGCCACAUCGAAACUGAGACACUGUUCGGACUCCUACGGGAGGCUGCAGUAACGAAUCUUCCGCAAUGCGCGAAAGCGUGACGGAGCAAUGCCGCGUGCAGGAUGAAGCCCCUCGGGGUGUAAACUGCUGUCAGGGAUUAGGAACACAAUGACCAGUCCCAAAGGAAGAGACGACUAACUCUGUGC